UACGGAAGGGGCAAGCGUUGUUCGGAAUCAUUGGGCGUAAAGGGCGCGUAGGUGGUUCUGUAUGUCUACCGUGAAAGCGUACGGCUCAACCGUAUUUUGUCGGUAGAAACUGCAGGACUUGAGGCUGGGAGGGGCUGGUGGAAUUCCCUGUGUAGCGGUGAAAUGCGCAGAUAUCAGGAGGAACACCGAUGGCGAAGGCAGGUCUCUGGGCCACUACUGACGCUGAGAAGCGAAAGCAUGGGGAGCGAACAGG
rnacentral:rRNA from 1 species